CCCUCAAACCUCGGGUUUGGUGUUGGACCCAAGUUGUGUGAACAACUGGUCUCAAAGACAAUGACGGCGUCCGUGGGACCCUCGGUGCAACGAGCUUUUAAACGAGCACGCGUCGAGUUUCAAGGACCUUCCGGGCCGGUCUCCUUCUUUUAUUUACAAAGGUUGACCUCGGAUCAGGUAGGAAUACCCGCUGAACUUAA
rnacentral:misc_RNA from 1 species